rnacentral:rRNA from 2 species
GUUAUAUGGUCAAGUGAAGAAGCGCAUACGGUGGAUGCCUUGGCAGUCAGAGGCGAUGAAAGACGUGGUAGCCUGCGAAAAGCUUCGGGGAGUCGGCAAACAGACUUUGAUCCGGAGAUCUCUGAAUGGGGGAACCCACCUAGGAUAACCUAGGUAUCUUGUACUGAAUCCAUAGGUGCAAGAGGCGAACCAGGGGAACUGAAACAUCUAAGUACCCUGAGGAAAAGAAAUCAACCGAGAUUCCCUUAGUAGUGGCGAGCGAACGGGGAUUAGCCCUUAAGCUUCAUUGAUUUUAGCGGAACGCUCUGGAAAGUGCGGCCAUAGUGGGUGAUAGCCCCGUACGCGAAAGGAUCUUUGAAGUGAAAUCGAGUAGGACGGAGCACGAGAAACUUUGUCUGAACAUGGGGGGACCAUCCUCCAAGGCUAAAUACUACUGACUGACCGAUAGUGAACCAGUACCGUGAGGGAAAGGCGAAAAGAACCCCGGAGAGGGGAGUGAAAUAGAACCUGAAACCGUAUGCGUACAAGCAGUGGGAGCCUACUUGUUAGGUGACUGCGUACCUUUUGUAUAAUGGGUCAGCGACUUAUAUUCAGUGGCGAGCUUAACCGUAUAGGGUAGGCGUAGCGAAAGCGAGUCUUAAUAGGGCGUUUAGUCGCUGGGUAUAGACCCGAAACCGGGCGAUCUAUCCAUGAGCAGGUUGAAGGUUAGGUAACACUGACUGGAGGACCGAACCCACUCCCGUUGAAAAGGUAGGGGAUGACUUGUGGAUCGGAGUGAAAGGCUAAUCAAGCUCGGAGAUAGCUGGUUCUCCUCGAAAGCUAUUUAGGUAGCGCCUCAUGUAUCACUCUGGGGGGUAGAGCACUGUUUCGGCUAGGGGGUCAUCCCGACUUACCAAACCGAUGCAAACUCCGAAUACCCAGAAGUGCCGAGCAUGGGAGACACACGGCGGGUGCUAACGUCCGUCGUGAAAAGGGAAACAACCCAGACCGCCAGCUAAGGUCCCAAAGUUGUGGUUAAGUGGUAAACGAUGUGGGAAGGCUUAGACAGCUAGGAGGUUGGCUUAGAAGCAGCCAUCCUUUAAAGAAAGCGUAAUAGCUCACUAGUCGAGUCGGCCUGCGCGGAAGAUGUAACGGGGCUCAAACCACACACCGAAGCUGCGGGUGUCACGUAAGUGACGCGGUAGAGGAGCGUUCUGUAAGCCUGUGAAGGUGAGUUGAGAAGCUUGCUGGAGGUAUCAGAAGUGCGAAUGCUGACAUGAGUAACGACAAUGGGUGUGAAAAACAUCCACGCCGAAAGACCAAGGGUUCCUGCGCAACGUUAAUCGACGCAGGGUUAGUCGGUUCCUAAGGCGAGGCUGAAAAGCGUAGUCGAUGGGAAACAGGUUAAUAUUCCUGUACUUCUGGUUACUGCGAUGGAGGGACGGAGAAGGCUAGGCCAGCUUGGCGUUGGUUGUCCAAGUUUAAGGUGGUAGGCUGAAAUCUUAGGUAAAUCCGGGGUUUCAAGGCCGAGAGCUGAUGACGAGUCGUCUUUUAGAUGACGAAGUGGUUGAUGCCAUGCUUCCAAGAAAAGCUUCUAAGCUUCAGGUAACCAGGAACCGUACCCCAAACCGACACAGGUGGUCGGGUAGAGAAUACCAAGGCGCUUGAGAGAACUCGGGUGAAGGAACUAGGCAAAAUGGCACCGUAACUUCGGGAGAAGGUGCGCCGGCUAGGGUGAAGGAUUUACUCCGUAAGCUCUGGCUGGUCGAAGAUACCAGGCCGCUGCGACUGUUUAUUAAAAACACAGCACUCUGCAAACACGAAAGUGGACGUAUAGGGUGUGACGCCUGCCCGGUGCCGGAAGGUUAAUUGAUGGGGUUAGCGCAAGCGAAGCUCUUGAUCGAAGCCCCGGUAAACGGCGGCCGUAACUAUAACGGUCCUAAGGUAGCGAAAUUCCUUGUCGGGUAAGUUCCGACCUGCACGAAUGGCGUAACGAUGGCGGCGCUGUCUCCACCCGAGACUCAGUGAAAUUGAAAUCGCUGUGAAGAUGCAGUGUAUCCGCGGCUAGACGGAAAGACCCCGUGAACCUUUACUGUAGCUUUGCACUGGACUUUGAGCCUGCUUGUGUAGGAUAGGUGGGAGGCUUUGAAGCGUGGACGCCAGUUCGCGUGGAGCCAUCCUUGAAAUACCACCCUGGCAUGCUUGAGGUUCUAACUCUGGUCCGUAAUCCGGAUCGAGGACAGUGUAUGGUGGGCAGUUUGACUGGGGCGGUCUCCUCCUAAAGAGUAACGGAGGAGUACGAAGGUGCGCUCAGACCGGUCGGAAAUCGGUCGCAGAGUAUAAAGGCAAAAGCGCGCUUGACUGCGAGACAGACACGUCGAGCAGGUACGAAAGUAGGUCUUAGUGAUCCGGUGGUUCUGUAUGGAAGGGCCAUCGCUCAACGGAUAAAAGGUACUCCGGGGAUAACAGGCUGAUACCGCCCAAGAGUUCAUAUCGACGGCGGUGUUUGGCACCUCGAUGUCGGCUCAUCACAUCCUGGGGCUGAAGCCGGUCCCAAGGGUAUGGCUGUUCGCCAUUUAAAGUGGUACGCGAGCUGGGUUUAGAACGUCGUGAGACAGUUCGGUCCCUAUCUGCCGUGGACGUUUGAGAUUUGAGAGGGGCUGCUCCUAGUACGAGAGGACCGGAGUGGACGAACCUCUGGUGUUCCGGUUGUCACGCCAGUGGCAUUGCCGGGUAGCUAUGUUCGGAAAAGAUAACCGCUGAAAGCAUCUAAGCGGGAAACUUGCCUCAAGAUGAGAUCUCACUGGGAACUUGAUUCCCCUGAAGGGCCGUCGAAGACUACGACGUUGAUAGGCUGGGUGUGUAAGCGUUGUGAGGCGUUGAGCUAACCAGUACUAAUUGCCCGUGAGGCUUGACCAUAUAACACCCAAACA